rnacentral:rRNA from 1 species
GCAAGUCGAGGGGCAGCAUUCACUUCGGUGAGAUGGCGACCGGCGCACGGGUGCGUAACGCGUAUGCAAUUUACCCAUUACUGGGGGAUAGCCCGGGGAAACUCGGAUUAAUACCCCAUGGUAUCAUAAAGCAGCAUUGUUUAAUGAUUAAAGAUUUAUUGGUAAUGGAUGAGCAUGCGUCUGAUUAGUUAGUUGGUAAGGUAAUGGCUUACCAAGACGAUGAUCAGUAGGGGGUCUGAGAGGAUGAUC